GCCUGGGUGGCUCAAUCGGUUGAACGUCUGACUUCGGCCCAGGUCAUGAUCCUGCGCUUUGUGGGUUCAAGCCCCACGUCGGGCU
rnacentral:tRNA from 1 species